rnacentral:rRNA from 1 species
UACGGAGGGGGCUAGCGUUGUUCGGAAUUACUGGGCGUAAAGCGCACGUAGGCGGCUUUGUAAGUUAGAGGUGAAAGCCCCAGGGCUCAACCCUGGAAUUGCCUUUAAGACUGCAUCGCUAGAAUUGUGGAGAGGUAAGUGGAAUUCCGAGUGUAGAGGUGAAAUUCGUAGAUAUUCGGAAGAACACCAGUGGCGAAGGCGACUUACUGGACACAUAUUGACGCUGAGGUGCGAAAGCCGUGGGGAGCA